CAUUUAAUAUAAAUGGGGCCAGGGAAGCCACGUAUAAUGUACAGCCUAAAUGGAUCUCAGUGGUAAAAGGGCUAUAUUAUACUGGGGAUCUUUUAUGCACCAUUC